rnacentral:rRNA from 2 species
UACUGCACCCGGGAGGGUGUGGGAGAGUAGGACACCGCCGGAC